rnacentral:rRNA from 1 species
AAAAACAUCACCUCUUGAAAAUAUAUAAGAGGCCUCGCCUGCCCUGUGACUAUAUGUUUAACGGCCGCGGUAUUCUGACCGUGCGAAGGUAGCGCAAUCAAUUGUCUUUUAAAUGGGGACCUGUAUGAAUGGCGCGACGAGGGCUUGACUGUCUCCUUUUCUCGGUCAAUGAAAUUGAUCUCCCCGUGCAGAAGCGGGGGUGUAUAUAUAAGACGAGAAGACCCUGUGGAGCUUUAGACGCUGAAACAGCCAAACGUUAAACUGUUUUAUUAAAAAACAACAACCUAGUAAUCCCUGUUUUCAUGUCUUUGGUUGGGGCGACCAUGGAGUAAAAGAAAACCUCCACGUGGAACGAGAGUACUACUCCCCAAAACCAGGGCUACCGCCCUAAGUAUCAGAACUUCUGACCUUACAGAUCCGGUUUUACACCGAUUAACGAAUCAAGUUACCCUAGGGAUAACAGCGCAAUCUCCUUUAAAAGACCAUAUCUAAAAGGGGGUUUACGACCUCGAUGUUGGAUCAGGGCAUCCUAUUGGUGCAGCCGCUAUUAAGGGUUCGUUUGUUCAACGAUUAAAGUCCUACGUGAUCUG